GACGAACGCUGGCGGCGUGCUUAACACAUGCAAGUCGAACGGAAAGGCCCUGCUUUUGGGGGGUGCUCGAGUGGCGAACGGGUGAGUAACACGUGAGUAACCUGCCCUUGACUUUGGGAUAACUUCAGGAAACUGGGGCUAAUACCGGAUAGGAGCUCCUGCUGCAUGGUGGGGGUUGGAAAGUUUCGGCGGUUGGGGAUGGACUCGCGGCUUAUCAGCUUGUUGGUGGGGUAGUGGCUUACCAAGGCUUUGACGGGUAGCCGGCCUGGGAGGGUGACCGGCCACAUUGGGACUGAGAUACGGCCCAGACUCCUACGGGAGGCAGCAGUGGGGAAUAUUGCACAAUGGGCGGAAGCCUGAUGCAGCAACGCCGCGUGCGGGAUGACGGCCUUCGGGUUGUAAACCGCUUUCGCCUGUGACGAAGCGUGAGUGACGGUAAUGGGUAAAGAAGCACCGGCUAACUACGUG
rnacentral:rRNA from 1 species